UCGAGGAUCUUCGGCAAUGGGCGCAAGCCUGACCGAGCGACGCCGCGUGUGCGAUGAAGGCCUUCGGGUUGUAAAGCACUGUCGAGGGGGAGGAAGGCCGUAAAAUCGGCUUGACCUAUCCCUGGAGGAAGCACGGGCUAAGUUCGUGCCAGCAGCCGCGGUAAGACGAACCGUGCAAACGUUGUUCGGAAUCACUGGGCUUAAAGGGCGCGUAGGCGGGCCAGCCAGUCUGUGGUGAAAUCCUCCAGCUUAACUGGAGAAGUGCCGUGGAUACUGCUGGCCUCGAGGAGGGUAGGGGCAUCUGGAACGGUCGGUGGAGCGGUGAAAUGCGUUGAUAUCGACCGGAACUCCGGUGGCGAAGGCGAGGUGCUGGCCCCUUUCUGACGCUGAUGCGCGAAAGCCAGGGGAGCAAACGG
rnacentral:rRNA from 1 species